ACGAAAUCUCCUGCCAUGAAAUGAAUGAUUUGUAAUUCACUUGUCUAUAAAUCUUCACAUUCCUCAUUUUGAAUGAAUAUUCAAGUAUAUGAUGAAACUACCGACAAUUGAACAAAAAUCAUCCAAUACUGUGAUGACUUUUGUUAUACAUCCGUAUGACAUUAAGUAGACAUUUGAAUUAUGCUAACACAAAUAAAAAACAUCCAACUUAUGACGGAGUUUAGUUUUUACCAUGUCCCAAAUCGAAAAUCAUUCAAUUGCCGUCUGACAAAACAUACAGAAAGCGUACGAUGAUAGUUGUCAAAUUAUUCUUCUGAAUCGUAGUGUAAAUAUGGCGGCAGCAGCGUGGUGACUCCGGAACUCCUGAUUGAAUUUAACAGGCUACAUAAAUCACUGAUAUGCACAUAAUCCGAAUGGGAUCGUGGAGUUCCUGGAGUCAAACAUGAGACAACUGUUCUUGGCGAUAUCAAUGUUCUGGAUACUUUCCCAAAUCAAGUUAAAUAAUCAUACAAUGAAUUAAAAACGUCUUUCGUAGAAUUGUCAA